CAGUAGCCGCGGUAAUACGUAGGGUGCGAGCGUUAAUCGGAAUUACUGGGCGUAAAGCGUGCGCAGGCGGUUGUGUAAGACAGGUGUGAAAUCCCCGGGCUUAACCUGGGAACUGCGCUUGUGACUGCACAGCUAGAGUAUGGCAGAGGGGGGUGGAAUUCCGCGUGUAGCAGUGAAAUGCGUAGAGAUGUGGAGGAACACCGAUGGCGAAGGCAGCCCCCUGGGCCAAUACUGACGCUCAUGCACGAAAGCGUGGGGAGCAAAUGGGAUUAGAGACCCCCGUAGUCCCUGUCUCUUAUAC
rnacentral:rRNA from 1 species